UACGUAGGGUGCAAGCGUUAAUCGGAAUUACUGGGCGUAAAGGGUCAGUAGGCGGCCAACUAAGUCCGACGUGAAAUCCCAAAGCUUAACUUUGGAACUGCGUCGGAUACUGGAUGGCUUGAAUUCGGGAGAGGGAUGCAGAAUUCCAGGUGUAGCGGUGAAAUGCGUAGAUAUCUGGAGGAAUACCGGUGGCGAAGGCGGCAUCCUGGACCGACAUUGACGCUGAACGACGAAAGCUAGGGGAGCAAACGGG
rnacentral:rRNA from 1 species